GCCAGAUGUAGUGGCAGGCAUCUGUAAUCCCAGCUACCUGGGAGGCUGAGGCAGGAGGAUUGCUUAAGCCCAGGAGUUUCAGGUUGCUGUGCGAUAGACUGAGGCCACAGCACUCUAGCCUGGGCACCAGAGUAAGAUUCUGUCUCAA
rnacentral:SRP_RNA from 1 species